GCCUGCUUAGCUCAGUGGUAGAGCGCAUCACUAGUAACCCCUGGUCCACCGGGUAUGAUGAGGCCGCCAGUUCAAUUCUGGUAGCAGGCA
rnacentral:tRNA from 1 species